rnacentral:rRNA from 1 species
GACAGAGGGUGCAAACGUUGUUCGGAAUUACUGGGCGUAAAGCGCGUGUAGGUGGCGAGGCAAGUCGGGUGUGAAAGCCCUGGGCUCAACCCAGGAAGUGCACUCGAUACUGCCUAGCUAGAGUCCCGGAGAGGUUGGUGGAACUCUCGGUGUAGAGGUGAAAUUCGUAGAUAUCGAGAAGAACACCGGUGGCGAAGGCGCCAACUGGACGGUGACUGACACUGAGACGCGAAAGCGUGGGGAGCAACAGG